AGUGAACGCUGGCGGUAGGCCUAACACAUGCAAGUCGAACGGCAGCACAGUAAGAGCUUGCUCUUACGGGUGGCGAGUGGCGGACGGGUGAGGAAUACAUCGGAAUCUACUUUUUCGUGGGGGAUAACGUAGGGAAACUUACGCUAAUACCGCAUACGACCUACGGGUGGAAGCAGGGGAUCUUCGGACCUUGCGCGAUUGAAUGAGCCGAUGUCGGAUUAGCUAGUUGGCGGGGCAAAGGCCCACCAAGGCGACGAUCCGUAGCUGGUCUGAGAGGAUGAUCAGCCACACUGGAACUGAGACACGGUCCAGACUCCUACGGGAGGCAGCAGUGGGGAAUAUUGGACAAUGGGCGCAAGCCUGAUCCAGCCAUACCGCGCGGGUGAAGAAGGCCUUCGGGUUGUAAAGCCCUUUUGUUGGGAAAGAAAAGCAGCAGGUUAAUACCCCGCUGUUCUGACGGUACCCAAAGAAUAAGCACCGGCUAACUUCGUG
rnacentral:rRNA from 1 species